GCUGGUUUCUCCUCUUGGUCCUGCCCUACAGACCAUAAAGGAAAUCAGCAAGAAGUCCCCAGCAAACAUCCACAGAUGGCCCUGGACAUCAGCCACAUUCUGAGAAACAUGUCAUGUUCUGGGAGGGCUGAGGCAUCAACCUCACCUUGCAGGAAUCCCAGUGAAUAUAUUGCCACCUUAUUUGAGCUCAGUGCCCUCAUAGCGUAAUGGCACCAGCAGAUCUGCCUGUGCAUGGACUUCCUGUACUACCCAUUCCUGAGGGGUGAUGCUUCUGCAGGGCCUGUGACCUGGUGCACAACUUUGGACACCAUCAUCCUGGAGCAGCACUGCACCCUCACUAGCCAGGGUGUUCAUGACUUCCUCAAGGCCAAGGCCACGUUCAAGACUUGAGACUUCCGUGAUGCACUUGUGCUGGGCAAGGUGGCUUCUCCGGUGUCUUAAUUUGGGAGGUAGAAUGCAGCUUGAGAUCAAAUGUCUGAUCAAAGAACUUGAACUUGAUCUGGAGGGCUCUGGGGAGCCAUAGAAGGUGCUGGACAAACGAGGGACAGUCAGAUAUAUUUUAGAGAUGACUGUAGAAGGCUGCCUGGAAGGAGUGAACAAGAGCCAGGAGACCCGGGAGGGAGCUUGUGGGGCAGGUCUGGAGAUGGCAAGGGAGGGAUCCUGCUUGGAUGAAAAGUCUUCAGGGACUGUCUCAGGUUACACUCAGGUGCCCUCAGAGCUAAUGUGUUCAGAGGUCUUGUCUCCAGGAUGAAAAUGGGAAGGAGUUGUCAUAUGAGGACAUAUAAAUGGAGGCUGGCAUCUUCAUGAGUACCAGCAGUGGUCCUGGUGUGGGUCUCUCCAUCCAGGGACAUGGUGGAUGGACACUACGUCACUCCAUUCUGCCCUUCCUUUCCCUCCCCCCAUUCUCCCGAGGGCCUCAGUACAUGGGCGCUGUCCAACCUCUGGUGCUGAAGCAGCCAAGAGACCCAAGCCUGCGUGGCUGCCUCUUAGGAUAUGACAGCACAGCCACUGGCCUCUACUGAAUCCUAUGCAACCUCAGAAGACACCCAGGAGUGAUGCCAUCACGUGGUGCAAGAGUUCUGAGGGACCGCAAUCCUGAAGACAUUGAAUGUUGUUAGAUUAAAAAACAGUGGCAAAGAGCAAUACAGAGAGUUGCCAAAAUUCACACCGCUGGUCCAGGUUUGAAGCAAGCAGUCUGUACCUGCAGUCCUUGUCUGUAACCAUGGCACCCUGGCUUCUCACACAUCUCAUCGUGGAGUUCCACCAUGUGUCAGGCAUGACACUGAGCACCUUCUUUUAAGAAUAUAAUUUGUAAUUAUGUAGAUUAUUAAUUCUACCUCAAAAUGCCACACAGCCUUCAUGUGAUAAAAUGAAACAAUUGGUGAGUCUAAGCAUUGAGAAAAGACGUUCUUUUUUCCACUCCCAACUCCAUUCCAACAGUUGGGACAGUGCUUUCUCUGUGCCUGUAGAAACCUCAGCUCCUGUGCUGAGGAGCCUGUUCUCUUUGGGGAAUGUGGCAGUCAGGUACUGGCAGGGACCUCAAAGCGUCUGAAGGGUCAUUAAGAAAAAGCUGUUUACACAGGUGUGG